rnacentral:lncRNA from 1 species
UGUUAAGUGUGUAUAUGGUACAUGUGUAUAUGUAUUUUUGUGUAUGUAUAUGUAAUGUGUGUAUAUUUAAUGUUGNNNNNNNNNNNNNNNNNNNNUUAGAGGCUAAUCCCAAGCCACCCGUCAACAUUCCCUCUAUAGAAAACUGGAGUUCCCGGAGAAAACCCACAACUUUUGUCAGAGUGUUGACAGCAUGACUCUUUUCACAUUUAAGUGUCGUUGAAGUGGUGAGAGUUGAACCAACAAUCUCAGAUGUAAAAAGUCCUCGCUCUGACAAUUGCACUACCAAAGUCGGUGGCACAAUCAGCACGCCACCAUAGCCCCAGUAGGGUGCAGUGGAACUUGAUGGGCUAAGCUGUUAAUUUGUGCCAAUGACAUGUACCUAGCUUGUUGAGAAGUUCAGCUGUGGGUGAGUGCAUGGGUCUAUAAAUAAAAACCCACAAGAGUAUUAAAUUUGCAUAAAUAUUGCUAUAGUUCUAGCUAGAUUCCUUUGAAUGUAAAUACUAGUACUUUAUGUUAUGAGCAAAAUAAAUAAAAUUCUCAAGAC